rnacentral:rRNA from 1 species
AUGUCUAUCCCUCCUGAAGAAGUAAAAGAAGCUGCUGUAGAUGAAGAUGAAGAACCUGAGAUUCAUUUGCCUAUUGUCAUACCAGAGCGUGAUGUGUCAGGUUUAUCUAAUCCUCUUAAUGACAUGUCUUCAUAUGAUUUGUUUGCUACUACCUUGCAUUGCAUGAUGCCAUCACUUAAGGUAGAUUUGAAAAACUAUUUGCUUGGACAUGAUCAUACACACCCUAUUAGUGGCAUUGCUCAUAUCUCUGUUCAUGAUACUUAUGUUCCUAAUGCUAUACCCAUGCUUAAUGAAACGUGUGAUUCUAAUACUAGCAUUGAGCUUACUGAUUUGUACCAUCCUAAACAUGUGCUUUAUAGCUAUGCUUAUGUAAUUGGAUAUUCGAUUGAUGACUUGGAGGGUAUUAUCCCUACCACUUGCAUUGUCUCUUUCGUUGAGUGCUUUUUCAGGUUCUUGCUUGUGCACGAAUCACUACAUGCUGACCAAGUUCGAGAUGACAUUCCCUGGGACCCCGGUGGACCCAUGGCAUGGGGAUGA